AGAUCGGAUCUGGGAGACUUCCUUGAUCAAUUGGACCUCAAUGAUGAAGAGUUCGAGGACGUGGAGAUUGAUGAGGACGACCCGGAGAUACAGGAAAGUGUUCGAUGGCUCGCCAUCGCUAGGGUUCACACCAGCAAAAAUUUCAGCCCUGCAGCCUUCUACAAGCACAUGAGAGCCGCUUGGAACCUGACGCAGAGCGUGCGUUUUUGUCCGGUAGGGCCGAAUCGAUUCGUCGUCCAAGGUUCCUGUCUGGGCGACUGGGAGAGAAUUAUGAUGCAAGGUCCAUGGUUAUUCCGCAACAUGGCUGUACUUUUACUGUCGUAUGAUGGUUUCUGUAAAGCGGAUGAAGUAGAGAUCGUUCAUAUGCCGAUAUGGCUACAAAUCCAUAAGCUACCAGUCCCAUAUUGUAAGCAAAGUAUCGUGGAGAAACUGCUGAAAGGCGCUGGGGAGAUCACGGAGAUGCGUUUGAACGGAAACACUCGUGGCGAUUACAUAAGGGUGAGGGUGAGACAUGACAUCCGACAAGCCCUUACAAAAUUUGUGAGUAUUGUCCUAGGCAAGGAACGCCAAGUUUUUUUGGUUCGCUAUGAAAGACUGGCAAGAUUUUGUAAGAGGUGUGGCCUCGUUGGCCAUGAGCAUAAAGAGUAUGGAUCCGGAGUUCAUGAUGUGAAAUCACUCAAGUUCGGAGAUUGGCUGUAUGCUGAUAAUCCUGGCAGUAGUCGUCCUGAUGUUAAACCCAAUGGGGCAACUGGCUAG
rnacentral:rRNA from 1 species